AGUUUGAUCCUGGCUCAGAUUGAACGCUGGCGGGAUGCGCUACACACGGCACAGAGUCGAACGGCAGCCUGGACUUCGGUCUGGUGGCGAGUGGCGAACGAAUUGAGUAAUGUAUCGGAACGUGCCGUGUGAAGGAUAACUACGCGAAAGCGUAGCUAAUGCCGCGCCGCUGAGAGAAAGCGGGGACGCUGGGAGCCUCGCACUAUUAAGAGCGGCCGAUAUCGGAUUAGCUAGUUGGUGGGGUAACCGGCUCACCAAGGCGACGAUCCGUAGCUGGUUUGAGAGGACGACCCAGCAGCGCACUGGGACUGAGACACGGCCCAGACUCCUACAGGAGGCAGCAGUGGGGAAUUUUGGACAAUGGAAAACCCACCAGUCCAGCCAUCCCGCGUGUGUGAUGAAGGCCUUCGGGUUGUAAAGCCGCCGCAGCGGGAAAGAAACGGCACGGGAUAAUACCCCGUGCAACUGACGGUACCUGCAGAAUAAGCACCGGCUAACUACGUGCCAGCAGCCGCGGUAAUACGUGAGGUGCAAGCGUUAAUCGGAAUUACUGGGCGUAAAGCGUGCGCAGGCGGUUCGGAAGAAAGAUGUGAAAUACAGAGCUUAACUUUGGAACUGCGUGCCAACUACCGAGCUAGAGUGUGUCAGAGGUGGAAUUCCGCGUGUAGCAGUAAAUGCGUAGAUAUGCGGAGGAACACCGAUGGCGAAGGCAGCCUCCUGGGAUAACACUGACGCUCGUGCACGAAAACGUGGGAGCAAACAGGAUUAGAUACCCUGGUAGUCCGCCCUAAACGAUGUCAACUAGCUGUUGGGGCCUUCGGGCCUUGGUAGCGCAGCUAACGCGUGAAGUUGACCGCCUGGGGAGUACGGUCGCAGAAUUAAACUCAAAAUUGACGGGGACCCGCACAAGCGGUGGAUGAUGUGGAUUAAUUCGAUGCAACGCGAAAAACCUUACCUACCCUUGACAUGUCUGGAAUCCCGAAGAGAUUUGGGAGUGCUCGCGAAGACGGAACACAGGUGCUGCAUGGCUGUGAUCAGCUCGUGUCGUGAGAUGUUAGGUUAAGUCCCGCAACGAGCACCAGCCCUUGUCAUUAGUUGCUACGAAAGGGCACUCUAAAUGAGACUGCCGGUGACAAACCGGAGGAAGGUGGGGAUGACGUCAAGUCCUCAUGGCCCUUAUGGGUAGGGCUUCACACGUCAUACAAUGGUCAGGACAGAGGGGUCGCCAACCCCGCAGGGGAGCCAAUCCCGAAGCGAUCGUAGUCCGGAUCACAGUCUGCAACUCGACUGCGUGAAGUCGGAAUCGCUAGUAAUCGCGGAUCCAGCAUGUCGCGGUGAAUACGUUCCCGGGUCUUGUACACACACCGCCCGUCACCAUGGGAGUGGGUUUACCAGAAGUAGUUAGCUAACCGUAAGGAGGGCGAUUACGGUAGGAUUCAUGACUGGGGUGAAGUCGUAACAAGGGUAA
rnacentral:rRNA from 1 species